CGUAGGUGAACCUGCGGAAGGAUCAUUAAAGAUUUAAAAAUAUUGAAUUAUCUGAGCUAGUUGGGGAUCGAGAGCCAGUGGGAGUGCUUUGAGCCUGCGCUUAAUUGCGCGGUUCUGGUGCUGCUGCCGGGUCUUGUUCUAUUCAAACUGACUUUUCAAGGAUUUUUCUAAUCACACACUGUGGAGUUUUCUUCUUUACACUUCUUUCUUUGGGGAUGCAAGUCCCCAGAGUACACAAACACAAACAAUUUUGUAAUUUAUUCUAGUCAAAAAUAUUGUUUUUAAUUAAACAUCCAAAUAUUUAAAACUUUCAACAACGGAUCUCUUGGUUCUCGCAUCGAUGAAGAACGCAGCGAAAUGCGAUACGUAAUGUGAAUUGCAGAAUUCCGUGAAUCAUCGAAUCUUUGAACGCACAUUGCGCCCC
rnacentral:rRNA from 1 species